rnacentral:rRNA from 2 species
UUGCUUAGGUCUGAUGUGAAAGCCUUCGGCUUAACCGAAGAAGUGCAUCGGAAACCGGGCGACUUGAGUGCAGAAGAGGACAGUGGAACUCCAUGUGUAGCGGUGGAAUGCGUAGAUAUAUGGAAGAACACCAGUGGCGAAGGCGGCUGUCUGGUCUGCAACUGACGCUGAGGCUCGAAAGCAUGGGUAGCGAACAGGAUUAGAUACCCUGGUAGUCCAUGCCGUAAACGAUGAGUGCUAGGUGUUGGAGGGUUUCCGCCCUUCAGUGCCGGANCNAACGCAUUAAGCACUCCGCCUGGGGAGUACGACCGCAAGGUUGAAACUCAAAGGAAUUGACGGGGGCCCGCACAAGCGGUGGAGCAUGUGGUUUAAUUCGAAGCUACGCGAAGAACCUUACCAGGUCUUGACAUCUUGCGCUAACCUUAGAGAUAAGGCGUUCCCUUCGGGGACGCAAUGACAGGUGGUGCAUGGUCGUCGUCAGCUCGUGUCGUGA